UGAAUGUUUUUUAAUUGUUUUUAUUUUUAUCAGGUACAGUUUGAUGUUUCUGAAAAGACAGCAGUCAAGAUCAUUUGAAGAUUAUAGGGUAGUAUACAUGAUGACCUGUUGACGCUGGUAAGUGACAGUAUAUAUGGCAUCUACAUGACAGCAUAAAGGCAGAAACUGCCUUUAAAAAUUUAUGUGAAUAUUUUAAAUUGUUAUGCCCUGUCUAAGAUAGAAGGGGAGAUUAGGUUUUCCAGUCUGUGUGUCUGUCACAUGUAAGUUGUUAGGAUCUGUCUAAGGUAGAAGGGGAGAAUAGGUUUUACAGUCUGUGUGUCUGUCACAUGUAAGUUGUUAGGACCUGUCUAAGGUAGAAGGGGAGACUAGGUUUUACAGUCUGUGUGUCUGUCACAUGUAAGUUGUUAGGAUCUGUCUAAGGUAGAAGGGGAGAAUAGGUUUUACAGUCUGUGUGUCUGUCACAUGUAAGUUGUUAGGAUCUGUCUAAGGUAGGAGGGGAGACUAGGUUUUACAGUCUGUGUGUCUGUCACAUGUAAGUUGUUAGGACCUGUCUAAGGUAGAAGGGGAGACUAGGUUUUACAGUCUGUGUUUCUGUCACAUGUAAGUUGUUAGGACCUGUCUAAGGUAGAAGGGGAGAAUAGGUUUUACAGUCUGUGUGUCUGUCACAUGUAAGUUGUUAGGAUCUGUCUAAGGUAGAAGGGGAGACUAGGUUUUACAGUCUGUGUUUCUGUCACAUGUAAGUUGUUAGGACCUGUCUAAGGUAGAAGGGAAGACUAGGUUUUACAGUCUGUGUGUCUGUCACAUGUAAGUUGUUAGGACCUGUCUAAGGUAGAAGGGAAGACUAGGUUUUACAGUCUGUGUGUCUGUCACAUGUAAGUUGUUAGGAUCUGUCUAAGGUAGAAGGGGAGAAUAGGUUUUACAGUCUGUGUGUCUGUCACAUGUAAGUUGUUAGGACCUGUCUAAGGUAGAAGGGGAGACUAGGUUUUACAGUCUGUGUUUCUGUCACAUGUAAGUUGUUAGGACCUGUCUAAGGUAGAAGGGGAGACUAGGUUUUACAGUCUGUGUUUCUGUCACAUGUAAGUUGUUAGGACCAGGUUUUCCAGUCUGUGUGUCUGUCACCACAUUAAUUUUUAUGCCCCAUCUAAGUUUUGAAGAAUUUAACCUUGAAGUUAUGGUCACAUCAACUUGAAACUUAAUGAGAUCGCAUGUUCAUUAUGAUGUGAACUUUUUUAAAUAUAUGCCAUUUAAGGGUUUGGAAAAUUUUGCUGUUCACUAAAUAUGGAAUUGUGGUAGUGCAGGCAGAGCAUAGUGUCCAAUGGACAAAA